rnacentral:lncRNA from 1 species
AAGGUAUCGUUCUUUCAGCCAGAUGAUGAAGUCGUCGGGAUUUUGCCUUUGGAUUCGGAAGACCCCGGACUCUGCGAAGUUAUCCGAGUACAGGAGCAUUACCUGGUUCAUAAGCCAGAAAAGGUGCCAUGGACGGAAGCCGCUGGAGUCAUCCGGGAUGGAGUCCGAGCCUACACAGCCCUCUAUUACCUUUCUCAGCUCUCUCCCGGGAAGUCCGUGCUGAUCAUGGAUGGGGCAAGUGUGAGUCCCAGCUCAUUCUGUUUAAAAAAAAAAAGAAA